rnacentral:rRNA from 1 species
AAUGUCUGGGAAACUGCCCGAUGGAGGGGGAUAACUACCGGAAACGGUAGCUAAUACCGCAUAACGUCGCAAGACCAAAGAGGGGGACCUUCGGGCCUCUUGCCAUCGGAUGUGCCCAGAUGGGAUUAGCUAGUGGGUGGGGUAACGGCUCACCUAGGCGACGAUCCCUAGCUGGUCUGAGAGGAUGACCAGCCACACUGGAACUGAGACACGGCCCAGACUCCUACGGGAGGCAGCAGUGGGGAAUUUUGGACAAUGGGCGAAAGCCUGAUCCAGCAAUGCCGCGUGCAGGAUGAAGGCCUUCGGGUUGUAAACUGCUUUUGUACGGAACGAAAAGUCUCGGGAUAAUACCCUGGGACCAUGACGGUACCGUAAGAAUAAGCACCGGCUAACUACGUGCCAGCAGCCGCGGUAAUACGUAGGGUGCAAGCGUUAAUCGGAAUUACUGGGCGUAAAGCGUGCGCAGGCGGUUAUAUAAGACAGAUGUGAAAUCCCCGGGCUCAACCUGGGAACUGCAUUUGUGACUGUAUAGCUAGAGUACGGUAGAGGGGGAUGGAAUUCCGCGUGUAGCAGUGAAAUGCGUAGAUAUGCGGAGG